CCGAGGGGAGAGAGGGUGCGCAGACGGCCAGCCGGGCCGCGCCAGGGACAUACUGGAGACAGGAAGUGGCUGAGAGGGGGAGAGAGUUGGAGAGAGACGGCCGCGGAGGACACGGGGACGGGAAAGUCUGAGAGACGGGGAGAGCCUGACCCGGCGGGACACAGGCAGAAAGAAACACGCGAGCCAGACAGACGCAGAAGAAACGUGCCUGGUACUGGAUAGGAACUUCAUGGAAUGGAGCUAAUGGGCCGUAGGGCAGGUUUGAGUCGUGCCACCCUGGAGCAGAAGGUGGAGGGUAGGGAUAAGGGGGUGGAGCACCUGAUUCCAAUCUUGCCACAGGGAAGAAGAGUCUGUGAAGAAGGUGGAGAGAAACUAGGAGAAAAGCACAGGAUGUAGAGGUCUAUUCGGCAUAAUCUUCUCCCUCAUUUUCAUCUUCACCAUCAACAGAGAGAGCAGCAUACUUGCUUGCAGAACUGAACUUGGAAGCUGGAUUUUCCUCAGGUUUCUUUGGCUCAGGUGCAGAUCUGGAGUCUUGAUCCUUUUUGCCAUCUUUCCUAUCUGACUCCUUCCAGUGGUCUCUGUUCCCUCCGUCGCCUGGACCACGGCUAGAGUUCCCAGUUUGGCCUUUUGGGGCAUUCAUCCCAUCUACUUUAUUUUCAUCUGCUUGGGCAGUAAUGUAAACAAAUUAAAGGCAAGUAAAAGUAUCAAUGUCCCUCUCCUAAGAUUUCCCUUAAGCUGAAGAAAAUUGUGCCCACAUGUACUGAGGGAAACUAACCUCACCCCAACCCAGACUUCCUUCCUGAAGCCCUUCUUUCCACAUCCUCUACAGCACACAAAAAUACAAAAAACAAACAAAAUCCACUAAAAAGUUCCAUGUAGGGAUAUGCCAUCAUGAAAAGCAAGCUGGAAAUAAAGAUUAUGACGCUCUGUAGUG
rnacentral:lncRNA from 10 species